rnacentral:misc_RNA from 1 species
AACGCACAUUGCGCCCUGUGGUAUUCCGCAGGGCAUGCCUGUUCGAGCGUCAUUACAACCAAAAUUAAGCCCAGCUUAGUGUUGGGGUUCGCAGUUCUGCGGCCCUUAAUAUCAGUGGCGGUGCCUGUAGGCUCUGAGCGUAGUAAUUCUUCUCGCUAUAGAACCCUAUAAGUGUCUUGCCAAAACCCCCAUAUUUUUUCAGGUUGACCUCGGAUCAGGUAGGGAUACCCGCUGAACUUAA